CCUACGGGAGGCAGCAGUGAGGAAUAUUGUUCAAUGGGCGCGAGCCUGAACCAGCCAAGUAGCGUGAAGGAUGAAUGCCCUACGGUUUGUAAACUUCUUUUAUAGAGGAAUAAAGUUAUGCACGUGUGCAUAUUUGUAUGUACUUUAUGAAUAAGCAUCGGCUAACUCCGUGCCAGCAGCCGCGGUAAUACGGAGGAUCCGAGCGUUAUCCGGAUUUAUUGGGUUUAAAGGGAGCGUAGGUGGGUUGUUAAGUCAGUUGUGAAAGUUUGCGGCUCAACCGUAAAAUUGCAAUUGAUACUGGCAGACUUGAGUACAGUUGAGGUAGGCGGAAUUCGUGGUGUAGCGGUGAAAUGCGUAGAUAUCACGAAGAACUCCGAUUGCGAAGGCAGCUUACUAAGCUGCCACUGACAUUGAUGCUCGAAAGUGUGGGUAUCAAACAGGAUUAGAUACCCGGGUAGUC
rnacentral:rRNA from 1 species